AGGACGAACGCUGGCGGCGUGCUUAACACAUGCAAGUCGAGCGGUAAGGCCUUUCGGGGUACACGAGCGGCGAACGGGUGAGUAACACGUGGGUGAUCUGCCCUGCACUUCGGGAUAAGCCUGGGAAACUGGGUCUAAUACCGGAUAUGACCUCCUAUCGCAUGGUGGGUGGUGGAAAGAUUUAUCGGUGUCAGGAUGGGCCCGCGGCCUAUCAGCUUGUUGGUGGGUAAUGGCCUACCAAGGCGACGACGGGUAGCCGACCUGAGAGGGUGACCGGCCACACUGGGACUGAGACACGGCCCAGACUCCUACGGGAGGCAGCAGUGGGGAAUAUUGCACAACGGGCGAAAGCCUGAUGCAGCGACGCCGCGUGAGGGAUGACGGCCUUCGGGUUGUAAACCUCUUUCAGCAGGGACGAAGCGCAAGUGACGUACCUGCAGAAGAAGCACCGGCUAACUACGUGCCAGCAGCCGCGGU
rnacentral:rRNA from 1 species